AUACGUUUCUCGGCCUUUUGUGGCUAAGAUCAAGUGUAGUAGUAUCUGUUCUUAUCAGUUUAAUAUCUAAUAUAUGGGCCACACGAUAUUAACUAAAUUUUUUUGAAGUGGAGGUCCACCACGGUAGCUUGCUAUCGGGACCUUCAAAUGUUGCCUUGGCAUUGCACUACUAUCUUGCCGGGCACAACACCA